rnacentral:tRNA from 1 species
GAGGGUGUAGCUCAGUGGUAGAGUGUGUGCUUAGCAUGCAUGAGGUCCUGGGUUCAAUCCCCAGUACCACCG